rnacentral:rRNA from 1 species
GAUGAACGCUGGCGGCGUGCCUAAUACAUGCAAGUCGAGCGAACGGACGAGAAGCUUGCUUCUCUGAUGUUAGCGGCGGACGGGUGAGUAACACGUGGAUAACCUACCUAUAAGACUGGGAUAACUUCGGGAAACCGGUGCUAAUACCGGAUAAUAUUUUGAACCGCAUGGUUCAAAAGUGAAAGAAGGUCUUGCUGUCACUUAUAGAUGGAUCCGCGCUGCAUUAGCUAGUUGGUAAGGUAACGGCUUACCAAGGCAACGAUGCAUAGCCGACCUGAGAGGGUGAUCGGCCACACUGGAACUGAAACACGGUCCAGACUCCUACGGGAGGCAGCAGUAGGGAAUCUUCCGCAAUGGGCGAAAGCCUGACGGAGCAACGCCGCGUGAGUGAUGAAGGUCUUCGGAUCGUAAAACUCUGUUAUUAGGGAAGAACAUAUGUGUAAGUAACUGUGCACAUCUUGACGGUACCUAAUCAGAAAGCCACGGCUAACUACGUG